rnacentral:rRNA from 1 species
GACGAACGCUGGCGGCGUGCUUAACACAUGCAAGUCGAACGGAAAGGCCCUGCUUUUGUGGGGUGCUCGAGUGGCGAACGGGUGAGUAACACGUGAGUAACCUGCCCUUGACUUUGGGAUAACUUCAGGAAACUGGGGCUAAUACCGGAUAGGAGCUCCUGCUGCAUGGUGGGGGUUGGAAAGUUUCGGCGGUUGGGGAUGGACUCGCGGCUUAUCAGCUUGUUGGUGGGGUAGUGGCUUACCAAGGCUUUGACGGGUAGCCGGCCUGAGAGGGUGACCGGCACAUUGGGACUGAGAUACGGCCCAGACUCCUACGGGAGGCAGAAGUGGGGAAUAUUGCACAAUGGGCGGAAGCCUGAUGCAGCAACGCCGCGUGCGGGAUGACGGCCUUCGGGUUGUAAACCGCUUUCGCCUGUGACGAAGCGUGAGUGACGGUAAUGGGUAAAGAAGCACCGGCUAACUACGUG